ACCAGACUCCUACGGGAGGCAGCAGUGGGGAAUAUUGCACAAUGGGCGAAAGCCUGAUGCAGCGACGCCGCGUGAAGGAUGAAGUAUUUCGGUAUGUAAACUUCUAUCAGCAGGGAAGAAAAUGACGGUACCUGACUAAGAAGCCCCGGCUAACUACGUGCCAGCAGCCGCGGUAAUACGUAGGGGGCAAGCGUUAUCCGGAUUUACUGGGUGUAAAGGGAGCGUAGACGGCGAUGCAAGCCAGAUGUGAAAGCCCGGGGCCCAACCCCGGGACUGCUCUGGAAACUGCGGCGCUGGAGUACGGGAGGGGCAGGCGGAAUUCCUGGUGUAGCGGUGAAAUGCGUAGAUAUCAGGAGGAACACCGGCGGCGAAGGCGGCCUGCUGGACCGUGACUGACGUUGAGGCUCGAGAGCGUGGGGAGCAAACAGGAUUAGAUACCCUAGUA
rnacentral:rRNA from 1 species